rnacentral:rRNA from 1 species
AACGAACGCUGGCGGCAGGCUUAACACAUGCAAGUCGAACGCCCCGCAAGGGGAGUGGCAGACGGGUGAGUAACGCGUGGGAACGUGCCCUUCGCUUCGGAAUAGCCCCGGGAAACUGGGAGUAAUACCGGAUACGCCGUAUUGGGAAAGAUUUAUCGGCGAAGGAUCGGCCCGCGUUAGAUUAGCUAGUUGGCGGUGUAAUGGACCACCAAGGCUACGAUCUAUAGCUGGUCUGAGAGGAUGAUCAGCCACACUGGGACUGAGACACGGCCCAGACUCCUACGGGAGGCAGCAGUGGGGAAUUUUGGACAAUGGGCGCAAGCCUGAUCCAGCCAUGCCGCGUGAGUGAAGAAGGCCUUAGGGUUGUAAAACUCUUUCGCCGGAGAAGAUAAUGACGGUAUCCGGAGAAGAAGCCCCGGCUAACUUCGUGCCAGCCGCCGCAGUAAAAC